UAGAGAUAUGCCUAUUGGGAGGAAUGGACAUUGUUUGAUGGUGAAGGUGCCAAAUUUCCUUUUCGUUAUCUUAGACAUUUGGGUUUAUAUGAUUGUCCAAUGUUGAAAGGAGACAUGCCCGACAACCUUCCAUCAUUGACAAAGGUUUUUAUCUCAAACUGCAAACGGUUGGAGGCAAAAUCAACAGAUUUGCAAUGGAUUGGAUCUAUUGAAAAAUUAUACAUUAAGCAAGGGGAACAUGGGUUAUUGAGAGAUCUUGAUAAUUGUUCUUUGGAUUCUUUGAAAUAUCUAAGAAUUGAGAAGUGUGAUAGCUUGCGGUCUUUGCCAAAAAUGAUAAUGGGUAGCUAUUUUCUUGUAAAGUUGUCUCUCAUAGAUAUCCCAUUAACCUUGUCCUUCCCAAUUGAUGGUUUGCCCACUUCUUUGCAGCAACUUAAAAUUGAAAAUUGUGAGAAAUUAGAGUUCCUAUCUCCGGAAUCUUGGCAAACCUUCACAUCACUUAAAGACUUGAAUAUUCAUAACAGUUGCCAUUCCUUGACAUCCUUUUCAUUAGGUUGUUUUCCCAAGCUUAAAAGGCUUGGCAUAGCAAUUGUCAUAAUUUAGAGACCUUUAUAUAUGUUGGGGGGUCUGCUCUUCCCUUAGAAUCCUUUCAGGUCAAAGAUUGCAAAAACCUUAGGUCAAUGUCAGAAGUACACAUUGAUUCCCUUGCCAACCUUCAAUCUUUUUAUUCUAAUAAGGCUUCCAAAUUUGGAAUCUUUGCCUCACUAUGGUUGCCUUCUAAUUUACAAUUUUUGAAGUUAGUGGCUGUGAGGGACUCUCUAGUAUACCAAUUGAAGAUUGGGGUUUUCAACAGUUGACUUCUCUCUCAACAUUGCAUAUUGAAGGUGAUGGAAGUGAAACUAUACUCCAUAAUUUACUAAACAAUCAACUACUACCCAAGUCUCUUGUGUAUAUCUACAUAUAUGAUUUCUCUAAUCUUAAACGGUUAGAUAGAAAAGGGCUUCGACACCUCACAUCUCUUGAAGAGCUCACCAUCUGGAACUGUUCAAACCUUGAAUCCUUGCUAGAAGAUGUGCUACCACCCUCUCUUCUUUUGCUAGAUAUCGUUGGGUGUCCUAAAUUAGAAGAAAGAUAUAAUUUUAAAGGAGGAAAACAUUUGUCCAAGAUCUCUCAUAUUCCAACCAUAAGAAUUAAUGGUGAAUUCUAUGAUCCUUGCGAUAGUGCAUUGCUUCAAAUGGUUAGAGAAGAGGAGGAAGCAGUCAAAAAGAGACAUAUAUGAUAUGCAUGCAGGGAAGGUAGGCAAUAAGCUAACCCAUGUUGUUGAGGCUAAGAAGCAGUUCUGGUUUUUUUCACUCUUUUUUAAUGUUCAAUUAAUUUUUCUUACAAAAACAUCUAAAAGCAUGAUCUGAUUCUUUGCUUUUAUAUUGUCAAGUUAGAAAAUAUGAAAGGAGUUCAGAAGAAUUGCUCCGUUUUCAGCACAAAAUGAUUCAAGAGCUUGUAAGAAAUGAAUUAACUAAUCCUCUCUUCGUAUUCUUGAAAUUCUGAAUCGAUUAUAUAUUGUACACACACGCACGCACACAAAACACAUGCAACACAUUUUAUGAUGGGUUCUACUUUUCAAAUUUAUUUUGUUAAAUAUUUUUUCUUUUCCUAAUAUUUUUUUAAUGAGUUAAAUAUUUUGUAGACUUUCACUUUAAUACCUUAGUCCUCUGGGAUUUUGUGACAUAUAUAGAACCUUCCAACAUUGAUAUUUCAAGGUAAAGGAUGAUCUUGAUCUAGUUGAGGCUUAAUUAUUUCGGAAUAAUACACUAAUCCAAUGUUUUUUAAUUUAAUAUAAUCAUUAUAUGAAAUUUCAAGUGACUACAAAUAUCUUAUUUUUAUAUUCUCACAUUACAUAUAAAGCAUAAAUCUAAAGUUUGACAAAAUAUUUUUCCUUUUCUAGGAUAUUGCCCUUUUUUUUUGAUGACUUAUUCUAAAAUUUCAUUAAGCAGAUAUUAUUGGCUUUGAAUAACCAGAGCAAUGGCCACGAGUCUAUUGAAAACCGUCACAUGUCAGAGGUGAGGACAUCAAUAGAAUUGCUGUGUUUUAAAGAACAGAGUCAUAUGGAAACAAGGAAGGCAGCUUUCUCAAUUGUCAUGUGGUUGAAUUGAAUCAUCAUUUCUAUGUUACUUCUGCAACAAUAAGGACAACAAAGACUUUUACUGAUAUUCCUUUGUCAUUGAAGAUUUUGUGAUACAAAGAUCUUCCAGGUAUUUCAAGGUAA